CGUCCGGUAGGUAAGGCUACCACAGGGAUACGGGCUGCUGCCGCAAAAUGGUGGAGACACCACGCGAGGGCCAGCAGGCGAUGUCGAACCCAAGGCAUCGUUUAACGCAGCUUCACUGCCCUGUGAUGCUAAAGCUCGCAUGGU
rnacentral:sRNA from 1 species